rnacentral:rRNA from 1 species
CGUAGGAGGCGAGCGUUAUCCGGAUUCACUGGGCGUAAAGCGCGUGCAGGUGGCUCGGUAAGUUGGGCGUGAAAUCUCCCGGCUCAACUGGGAGAGGUCGUUCAAUACUACCGAGCUUGAGAGCAGAGGAGGAAGAUGGAAUUCCCGGUGUAGUGGUGAAAUGCGUAGAUAUCGGGAGGAACACCAGUGGCGAAGGCGAUCUUCUGGUCUGUUUCUGACACUCAGACGCGACAGCUAGGGUAGUAAACGGGAUUAGAGACCCCGGUAAUCCUAGCCGUAAACGAUGUGAACUUGGCGUUGGUGGGUUAAACUCCAUCAGUGCCGAAGCAAACGCGAUAAGUUCACCGCCUGGGGACUACGGCCGCAAGGUUA